GGGCCUUGGUCCUGUUCCCGCAGAGGUUGCUGAACUGAGCUUGAUCCCAUGGAAGUUGCUGGCUUGGGCCUACUUUGGUGGAGUUGAUUGACUCAGGCCUGGUCCUGCAGAUGUCCCUGGCUUGGGCCUGCUCCCACAAAGAGCUCCUUUGUGCCAGCUGAGGGACGGCCUUUAAAGCAUGAAAACUGUGUAUGGCUUUGGUGAAUGAGGUUCCUUGUUUAAGAGACCAACCCAAUUUCAGACUAGAGAAGGAAGCAUCUCACUGGCUCAGAAAGACUCUCCACGGCAUGCAUACUUGUGAUAAAAAACAAACCACCCAGACGAAAUGAGAUAACCUGCUUAAUCCAAUUGCAGAGAGAGAGUUACCAUUUUUCAGAAGUAUGUUAUCUAAAGGCACCCCAAAGAUGCCGAAAGGCUUGCCUAAAAUAGCACACAAACUAAGUGGCAACAUUGAGGAUGCAAUCUGUCCCUGAGGUGAAGCGGCAAGAAGCUCCAGCUCCUUCUCUGUUCUUGGAUGAUAAAGGAAGGAAAUAAAGCUGAGUGAGAUGACUACAUAUAUAGCAGAGGAUGCCAGUCCUGAUGGCAUCACAGCAGCUGAUGACGCCAUAGGAGAAGCAGGAAGAGGUUCCUGAACCUGUGACCCCGAUUUCUUUAUACUACCAUGCUGCAGGCCAAGAAAAGGGGUCUGUGGAACCGAGAUUAGGACGCAAGGUCGGCCUGCUUCAGCCAUUCGGUGUGACACUGGGCUGUGUCGGGACACUCAGUACCCACACAGCCACUGAGGCUGCCGCUGCUCUGGCUGCUGCCAUGAUCCUGACAACAGCCUGCUGCAGUCUGGCAAGGGAAAUCAGAUCAUAGUAACUACUGGUGAUUCCCAGCCUCUUAAUGGAUUUGCUGUGCAGACUUCCAGACCUAGUGAGUCCUGUUUACCUUGGAACCACACCAGAAACACAGACUGAACAUUUGACUUUUUUACUCUUUGGGACACAGAACUCAUUUUGACAGUAUGGUAUUCAAUACUGCUGCUGAAAUAUAGGACUUGAGAACUGAGACCUAACCUUUCUCCUGGCCGGGGAGGACUCAUUACAAGGAGUGACUGAUAGCACAUCUUCAAAUGUCAGGAGGGGAACCUAAGGGUCUUUGCUGUUACUCAGAGACUGGGACAAUCACUUAAAAGCAGCAAUGUGGUUGGACUCUCACCCAUCAAAGAAACCUUUUCUUGUCUUUUGAUUAGAAUGGAUUUAAGAGAAUUGUGAUAUGACAAAUUAUGUGGUUAUUGUUAAUUUCCACUCUAGAAUUAUAGUAUUGUCUGUUUAAUAUUUGUAACUGCUGUAGUUCACAAUAAGAUGUUGAGAAAAGUUUGACAUUUCCUAUGGGUACUUGGAUUCAACAUACUUAAUAAGAAAUUUAGAUUUUGAUACAGCUAGAAAUUGUUAAGAAGCACUGUAGACCAAUUGAAAAAUGCAUUCCUAACCUUGUGAUCCUUCUCUCUCUUAAUUAGGAGACUGUAGCCACGGGGACAUGUUAAUUGCAGAUAAACUUUCUUGAGGAGAGACACAGAGCCCAGAAGUAUUUUUCUCCUUUAAUCCUUUGUUUACAGAGGUUGGCAGACAUUGCAGGUGGUGGUGGUGGUGGUGGGGGAGUUUGAUCCUUUUUCCUCCCAGGCUCCUAAAACCCGGGCUUGUAUUAUUAAAAUACAGGUACGUCUGGCAAACAGGAAAGUGUUCACCUAACGCAGACGCGAUCAUGUGUCGUGCUGUAGAAGCACAGGCUUUAUAAAAAUUAAUAAAAACAGAGGAACUGUGGAGGAUGAAAAUGCAGGGCUAUUUCCACCGUGUUUGAUGGUCAGAGAAUUUGGAGGCUGACAAACAUAGUUGCACGUAGCAACUCAGGAUGUGAUUGCUUGUUCUUUUGAAAUUAAGAUAAAUCCACACCAUCCUGACAGGUGGUCAGGAUAUGCAAACGUACUUCUGCUCCUACAUUUGUAACUAUGAGGUCACCUGGGGAGGGAUGGACUCCAGCAUGCAGGAUCUAGAGUACCUUUGCUACCUAGACAACAGAAUGCUAAUGAUUUGAUAUCUCGGAGUGAUAAAGUGAUUGACUGUGUGAGUUUUCCUUUGUAUCAUGUUAAUAAAGUCUUUUGUUACCCCCCUCCCCCACUGACCUUGGGCAUAAAAGCUGUGGGUGAAUUUCAGGAUUCCAGUAACUGGAAUGCCCUCCUGAGACUUCCUACGUUUUCUGUUUUAUUAUUUGCAUAUUUGAGGCUGGUCCUUGACAGAAGUUUGAACCUGGUAUUGAAGGUUGCUGAGGUGUGGUAUUGGCGAGCUGCAGGAGAAUGGAAGGCUGGUCCAGGCGGAAGAGUGGGAGUGCUAGUUUAGAGGA